rnacentral:lncRNA from 1 species
AACUCUAAACAAGAUUUUGACGAAAAUAGGUUUUAACUUGACUCAAAACACUUAAAAACACAAACUAACACACUUUCUAACUAAUUUGACACUUGAAAACAAAGGGGGAUUUGGUUUUUACGAAAUUGAAAACAAAAUAUAAACUUGUAAAUCAAAACAGAUUUUAAAACGAAUUUGGUUUAAAUGAAUGGAUGGUAAGCUAGCUAAGGGGUUCAUCUCCACACAUGUUAUACUUGCAUUCAAAACGAUUUCCAAUUGCUUUUCAAUAACCCAUGAAUUCUCAACGCCCCAAGUUAGUUAGGUCCGCUUAAAUUAACCUUCAAAUUUUCCUAACGUUAUUGAAUUGGAUGAUUGCAUACGACAACCCAAAAUAUUCCCCACAAGUCCCCUACAUGAUUGCAUAAUAGAGAUACAAGCAAGAAUCAUUAAGUUCUAUGAAAACCAUAAGCAUUGACGAAGCACUUGUUACUAUGAUUGCAUGAAACUUAUGCCAAGAAUUUACUUAACGCGAUUGAGAUCAUCAACCUUUACUACUGGUGAUUAUAAGUCCAUAACGAUUAGGUGAAAUUUCCUUAUAUCCUAGCAUUCAAUUUAUGCAUGAUAAUUAAGCGUGCACUCUCAACCAACACACAUAAAUCAAUGUAAUUCGCAUAGAUAAGUAAAUUGAAUUCACAACUUAUGAAACGUAAUUAGAAGUAAUCAAAUCAUAUCGCAAGCAUAAACAUGUAUUUCGAAUCCCCCCCUAGCCAAGGGGGGGUUUAGUUCCUCAUAGACACAAAACAAAGAGAAUUGAAUUUAAACAUUGAAAUCAAAGGAAAAGAAACACCUAGAAAUUCCAGCGACGCGAACUUGAAUUGCAUGAACUUCCAAGCUUCCUUCUCCUCCUCCUUGGUGCGGCAAGGACCUUGGACAGGUUCUUUGGGGUUAUGGAUGGCGUAGAAUGGAUGGGGGAUGUGUGAUGGUGUUUAGGGUUGAUGGGUGGUGCGGCUAGGGAUGAUUUUGGGCAGAAAAUAUGGAAUAUGGUGGUGGAAAGGUGCGGGAGAAAUCAAGGUUUAAUUUCUGGCGUGAAUGGUUAUGUAUGAGAGGUGGUCCUCUAAUCUAGGAGUUAAUAUGAGUAUAUAUAGGCACUUAAAACCCUAGGGGAAUCAGAUAUGGACUUGAAUAACCCAAAUCCACAAGGAAUUAGGCUUAGAAAUCAGAAUCCACAAGGGAAAAGGUCCACCAAGGUGCGGCUGAAUAGGGAGAGGAAGGAUAAGGCUUCUAGAAUGCCUUGCAAGGCAAGGAACUAGGGCAUCUAGAAGCUAGGGUGCGGCACCAAUGUAGGGAUUAGGGAUAGGGCUUCUAGAAAGCCCCAAAACUGAUAGGAAAUGUAGGAAACUCACGGCAAGGAGGGGAACACUCUAGAAACUUCUCAUUUGUGCCCUACAACAAUUAGGAGUCCUUCUAGCAUUAGGAAAACAUGUCUCAAUCCUCCCUUGACUUGGAAUUGUUCUCCCUCUUCAUCUUGGAAACCUUUCCUUCUUGGACUUGGAAAACUUCUUUGUUGCUGAAACUUGAUGCCAUUUGGAUUUAACUUUCCUACUUCGAGUAGGAAACCUUGUUUGAGUAGGAAACUUCAUUCGUCUAGGAAUCCAUCUUCAACUAGGAAUCCUUGAUUGAUUAGGACACCUUCUUGGACUAGGAUUUCAUCUUCAAUUUGGGUCUUUCCUACUUCAACUAGGAAUCCUUGCUCAAGUAGGAAUCAUCAUUUUCAAAUCUUCAUUUUCGUCCAAACCCUUGGCUCCAAAUAUGUGAUAUCCAAUCCAAGCUCCAUUUUGCUCCAAAAGGCUCCAAAUUGCUUCUUUUUAUGUAAUAUGCCUUUAAAACCUAAGAACACAAGAAACUAGCUUAAAAGACUACUUUACUAAGGAAAAACACUAUAAAUGCACAAGAACAAGCUAAACUAAGGCGCAUAAAUAUGCUCCUAUCAUUUACUCCAAUUCCUUCCUCGAUGGUGGGUUGUGGGACAUUCUUCUUGACUAGUGUUGAACAUUCCUGCCCUAUAUUUUCAAUUACAUUAAUAGCACAACAAGAACGAACAUCAUUAGUA